rnacentral:lncRNA from 10 species
GUCACUUGUUUUGCUACCUGCUAUGGUUGUAUCACUCACUCACUUGGAUUAUUGCAGUAGCUCUUUAACAUAUCUUCUUGAUUCUGUGACUUCCUUCCUAAAGUGUCACCACUGUAGGUAGAAUGUUCUUUUAAAAAUACAAAUCUAGGCUGGGCACAGUGACUCAUGCCUAUAAUCUCAGCAAUUUGGGAGGGCAAAGCAGGAGGAUUGCUUGAUCCCAGGAGUUCGAAACUAGCCUGGACAACAUUACAAAACUGUGUCUCUACCAAAAAUACAAAAAUUAGGAGGAGAUGGUGGCUCAUGUCUGUAGUCCCAGUUACUCUGGAGGCUGAGGUGGAAGGAUCUCUUGAGCUCAGGAUGUUGAGCUGCAGCGAGUCAUGAUCAUGCUACUGCACUCCAGCCUGGAUGACAGAUCAAGAGCCCAUCUCAAAACAAACAAACAACCCCAAACCUCAACAAAGCACUCCUCAGCCCCAACUCUCAAGUAGCUCUCCAUUACAUUCAGAAUAAGUCUGUUAGAAUGGCCUGCAAGGCCAAACUCAAUCUCAACCCUUUCCUCUGGGAUCCUACCUCCUGCUGCUUUCCUUCUUUUAAUCUCUCCACACACAGAGAUCUUGCUCUUCCAUGAAUAUCCCUCUGUCUGAAAUGUCCUGUAUCCAGAUAGCCACAUGGCUUGCUCCUUAAUGUUCUUCAAAUCUCUGUUCAAAUAUUACUUUCUAAUAGAACCUUGCCUCAAUUACCCUAUAUAAAAGUGCAUCCCUCAUGCCCUGCAAUCCCUUUCCUGAAUUAUCCUGCUUUAUUUUUCCCUUGAUCAUUUACUGUCAUCUAACAUAUCAUAUAUUUACUUGUUUGUUCUUUAUUGUCAGACUUCCCCCAUCUCCAUUCUAUCUUGAUCAUAAACUCCACGAGGAGAAGGACUUUAUCUUUCACUGUCAUGUCACCACUGCUUGGUAUAACUAUUUGGAAUUCAAUAAAUAUCCAUAGAGUAAAUGAAUGAAUACGUGAAAACAUUGACGAAGGAAAGAAUAUAUGAGGAAAUAGUAUUUAAAUUGCUACUGAAGGAGGAAAGGAUGCUGCCAUAUAAAAGUGAGGAGGACUCAUGCAGAGUGAAUACCAUUUGCAAAAGCCAAAACGUUUCCUUAAUUCAUUUCUUUUCAACUUUUCCAUUACAACAAUCAUAGUGCAAAUUACUGUCAUCCACUGUGGACCAGUACUACAUCAGGCAGCUCCCUGCAGGCUUUUCUGGGACAUUCACUGGAAAUCCAUUGAAAUUUUUAAAAUAGGGGGUUGACUCAACCUAAUUAAUAUUUUAAAAGGUCACCUAGGUUCAUCUAUAGAAAAUUAUUUGAAGAAGGCUGAUGUGGAAGCAGAGAGACUACCUAGGAGGCAGUUGCCCGUAGGAUGGUGACAGAUAAGGAUUAAAACUAUUAAAUGGUUUGGCUCUGUGUCCCCACCCAAAUCUCAUCUUGGAUUAUAAUCCCCAUGUGUCAAGGGAGGGAAGUGAUUUGAUCAUGGGGGUGGUUUCCCCCAUGCUGUUCUCAUGAUAGUGAGUGAGUUCUCAUGACAUCUGAUGGUUUUAUUAGCAUCUGGCAUUUCCCUUGCUUAUGCUUCUCUCUCCUGCUGGCAUGUGAAGAAGGUUCUUGCUUUCCCUUCGCCUUCCAGCAUGAUUGUAAGUUUCCUGAGGCCUCCCCAGCCAUGCAGAAGUGUGAGUCAAUUAAACCUCUUUCCUUUCAAAAUUACCCAGUCUCAGGUAGUAUCUUUAUAGCAGUGUGAUAAUGGACUAAUACAAACUAUUAAAUGGCUUACUAUAUAUUUUGGUUAUAAAAUAAACAGAACUUCCGAAUGGAUAAAAUUUCGGUAGUGAGAGAAAGAAUGAGAUGAAGGAGUACUUAGUUUCUGGUUUGAGUAAUGGGUAGACAGGGUAAUAAUGAUUGGAAUGGGGAAACUCUGGAGGUAAAAUUAUAAGUUUAAUUUUGAACAUUUAAAAAGGGGUACUGAUGAGGUCUCACAGAGUCAGUGUAAAUUGUUAAGAGAAGAGGGCUUGGGAUCAAACUUUGGAUUGGAUAAAUGAGGAACAAGGGAAAUAGAAUGAGCGAGACUGGCUGAUGAAAUACAAGGGAUAUCAGGAGAGAAUGGUGUUACACAAGCCAAGACACAAGAGUGUUUCAAGGAAGAGAGAAGGGUUACUUUUUAGAUAUUUUUCCCAGAGGUUAAGAAAGAGGGAAAAGAGAAAAGUAGGCCUUGUUCUUGCAAUGCAUAGAUCUUAGACAAGCUUGGUAAGGACCAUUAUGAUAAUCUGAUGGGAGGACUUUGAAGUCUGAUGGGACAUGGAAAAGAAAAGACAGCAUGUGUACGUGAACCUCAAGAAGCUUGAUGAAACAAGCAAACAAAUGAGGCAUUAGCUACAAGGAGGGGUGCAGAUGAAAAUUUUCUAGGGAGAGGAAGGAAAGGGAAGGAAGAGAGGAGAGAGAGAUAGUAGAGGAGACAGGAAGAGAAUGAGAGAGAGGAGAUAAAAUGAGAGAGUGGAGAGAGAAAAAAGACAGGAGAAAGAGAGAGGAAAGAGAGAGAGAAGAUAAAAAGAGAGAAGAGAGAGAGAAGGAGAGGAAACAGAAAGAGAGAGAGAGAGGAAAAAGAAUAGGAAAGAGACUAUUAGGGAAGGAGCAAAGUCCUUGAUUUGAGCAGAACUGGAGGACUGUGUUUUUGUAUGAGUAGGCCACAAAUGCAUGGAAUAAGCCCAUGGGAGGGAGGAGAAGAUGGGUGCAAGUACAGGUGGAUAUGGAGGUUUCGCAGAGGAAGUUGAAUGCAUUUGAAAUGGAUGACUUUUGAACAACAGGAUUAGAUCAUCAACAAAGAAUGAGAAGGGAAGAGGGUGUGUGGGAGGUUUGAGGACAGAGAAGAUGCAGAGUAGCAAUCUAGUAUGAUGAGAUGGGACAUCUAUAAGAGAAGCAGAUAGAAUUUCAGGGAAGUAUCUGAUGUUAUGCUGAGAUUUGAGACUGAGUGAUUAAUAUUUAAAAAGUCAGCUCACUUGGAUAAUUUGUUUGGCUGUUUGUGUGCAGACAGAGAUGGAGGGCAAAAGGUCUGGGGUGAGGGAGAGAGAGCAGGGCAAGUAGGUUGAAGGCAUUCACAAAGAGGUGACUCUAGUUGGACUCAUGAAGCUAGAUUAGACAGAGAGUUGAAGCUGACAGUGAGAAAGUGGUGGGAGUCAACACAUUGAAGCUUUGAUGAAAUGGAGUAAUGACAACAAUGUGAGCCCAUGACUGAGUGGAGGGGGGAAAUGGAGGUCUAGAAAUGAGAAUCUGGGCCUUGGGUGAUUCAUCCACGUGGAUGUUUAAGUUACUAUGAACACUCUCAGAAGUUAAGAAAGUCACAAAAGACUUUAGGCCAGGAUAUUGGAGCCUUCAUUAAAAGUAGAGACAUUAUGAAGAAGAGAAGAGAGGGAAAGGAUCAUACAAGUCUGAAAGAGGUAAGAUUUUGUGCAAGAUGAAGUUGAUAAUAGUCUGGAAGUGGCAUUGGAGAACAAAAGGAGAUGCAUCCCAGUAAAGAUGAAAGGGUAUGAUUUAAAGGGCAAAAAAGAAGAAAAGUCAUUUUAAAAGAAAUAAAAUGCUGGUGUAGGCAAAAAUAAAAAUGCAGAGUAUGAAAGAAAGAAAGGUAAAAGUAUAAAGAUGCUACAAGUAUUAAAUAAGAACUAAAAAUGCAGCUUUUUAUCAUCUGUUCAUUUGUGGGGCUAACCACCUGGUCAAGGCUGGGCUCUAGCAUCUAUAAUUAGUGGUCCAGAGAGUAGGUUCCUCAGUACACAUUAAAAAAAGAUAGCUAGGAAAUGGAGAAUGAAAACAUAUUUUAACAUUGUGAAAAUAAAAGAAUUGUAUCUCCUCCAAUACAGGAUGAUAAUAACUAGAUUUGAUAACUUUGGUUUUACAGUCUAAAACCUCCCCCUUGCUUACAAUUCAGAAAAGAUAAGGGAG